GGCCCGUUUAGCUCAGUUGGUUAUAGAGCGUCGUGCUAAUAACGCGAAGGUCGUGGGUUUGAUCCCCCCACGGGCCA